rnacentral:rRNA from 1 species
GACGAACGCUGGCGGCGUGCUUAACACAUGCAAGUCGAGCGGUAAGGCCCCUUCGGGGGUACACGAGCGGCGAACGGGUGAGUAACACGUGGGUGACCUGCCCUCAGCUCUGGGAUAAGCCUGGGAAACUGGGUCUAAUACUGGAUAUGACUCCACGGUGCAUGUCGUGGGGUGGAAAGCCUUGUGCGGCUGAGGAUGGGCCCGCGGCCUAUCAGCUUGUUGGUGGGGUGANGGCCUACCAAGGCGACGACGGGUAGCCGGCCUGAGAGGGCGACCGGCCACACUGGGACUGAGACACGGCCCAGACUCCUACGGGAGGCAGCAGUGGGGAAUAUUGCGCAAUGGGGGAAACCCUGACGCAGCGACGCCGCGUGGAGGAUGAAGGCCU